rnacentral:rRNA from 1 species
GAUGAACGCUGGCGGCGUGCCUAACACAUGCAAGUCGAACGGGAACCCUUGGAUUCGUCUGAGGGGGAGAGUGGCGAACGGGUGAGUAACACGUAGGUGACCUGCCCUGAAGAGGGGAAUAACCACUGGAAACGGUGGCUAAUACCCCAUGUGCUCGGUGGUUCGUUCCAUCGAGGAAAGCUCCGGCGCUUUGGGAGGGGCCUGCGGCCCAUCAGGUAGUUGGUAGGGUAAUGGCCUACCAAGCCGAUGACGGGUAGGGGGCGUGAGAGCGUGAUCCCCCACACUGGCACUGAGACACGGGCCAGACUCCUACGGGAGGCAGCAGUGAGGAAUAUUGCCCAAUGGACGCAAGUCUGAGGCAGCAACGCCGCGUGGGCGAUGAAGGCCUUCGGGUUGUAAAGCCCUUUUCUGGGGGGACGAGAGAGGACGGUACCUCAGGAAUAAGUCACGGCUAACUACGUG